rnacentral:rRNA from 1 species
GAUGAACGCUGGCGGCGUGCUUAACACAUGCAAGUCGAACGGGAACCUCUGGAUUCGUCUGGAGGGGAGAGUGGCGAACGGGUGAGUAACACGUAUGUGACCUGCCUCGAAGACGGGGAUAACUGCUGGAAACGGUAGCUAAUACCCGAUGGUCUCGAUAAUUCGGUUUGUCGAGUAAAGGCUCCGGCGCUUUGAGAGGGACCUGCGGCCCAUCAGCUAGUUGGUAGGGUAACGGCCUACCAAGGCGAAGACGGGUAGGGGGCGUGAGAGCGUGACCCCCCACACUGGCACUGGGACACGGGCCAGACUCCUACGGGAGGCAGCAGUGAGGAAUAUUGCGCAAUGAGCGAAAGCUAGACGCAGCAACGCCGCGUGGGUGAUGAAGGCCUUCGGGUCGUAAAACCCUUUUCUGGGGGAAGAGUAAGGACGGUACCCCAGGAAUAAGCCUCGGCUAACUAUGUGCCAGCAGCCGCGGUAAUACAUAGGAGGCAAGCGUUAUCCGGGUUUACUGGGCGUAAAGAGCGUUGAGGCGGCUUCGUAAGUUGGACGUGAAAGCUCCCGGCUUAACUGGGAGAGGCCGUUCAAUACUGCGGGGCUUGAGGACAGCAGAGGGGGGUGGAAUUUCCGGUGUAGUGGUGAAAUGCGUAGAUAUCGGAAGGAACACCAGUGGCGAAGGCGGCCCCCUGGGCUGCUCCUGACGCUGAAGGCGAAAGCUAGGGUAGCGAACGGGAUUAGAAACCCCGGUAGUCCUAGCCGUAAACGAUGGAUACUAGGUGUAGGAGGUUAAAACUCCUUCUGUGCCGGAGCUAACGCGUUAAGUAUCCCGCCUGGGGAGUACGGUCGCAAGGCUAAAACUCAAAGGAAUUGACGGGGGCCCGGACAAGCAGCGGAGCGUGUGGUUUCAUUCGAUGCAACGCGAAGAACCUUACCAGGGCUUGACUUGUAGGUAGUAGUGAAGCGAAAGCGGAACGAUCCUUCGGGAAGCCUACACAGGUGCUGCAUGGCUGUCGUCAGCUC